rnacentral:rRNA from 1 species
GACGAACGCUGGCGGCGUGCUUAACACAUGCAAGUCGAACGGAAAGGCCCUGCUUUUGUGGGGUGCUCGAGUGGCGAACGGGUGAGUAACACGUGAGUAACCUGCCCUUUACUUUGGGAUAACUUCAGGAAACUGGGGCUAAUACCGGAUAGGAGCUCCUGCUGCAUGGUGGGGGUUGGAAAGUUUCGGCGGUUGGGGAUGGAUUCGCGGCUUAUCAGCUUGUUGGGGGGGUAGUGGCUUACCAAGGCUUUGACGGGUAGCCGGCCUGGGAGGGUGACCGGCGACAUUGGGACUGAGGUACGGACCAGACUGCAACGGGAGGCAGCGGGGGGGAAUAUUGCACAAUGGGGGGAAGCGUGAUGCAAAAACCCCGGGAUCGGGAAGACGGCCUUCGGGUUGUAAACCGCAUUCGCCUGUGACGAAGCGGGAGUGACGGUAAUGGGUGAAGAAGCACCGGCUAACUACGUG